UGUGUGUCUGUGUGCUGGUGUUGGUGUUGGUCGCCCCAUCAGCGCGGAUUUACUACGCCUUUUGUAGUUUGAAGUCUAGACGUGCUGCGAAGAUUCUGUGGAAUGUCCUAGUGUUCCGACAGUACAGUGAGAGUGCCAGUGUACCCUCACACUGGUGUUGUGCCGAGGUUCGAAACCUUUCGUGACGUAAAGAGGUCAUCAUCAGAGAUCUCGUGUUCGCAUAUCAUGUGAUGAUUUUGUCCUUUCGGGACGUCGUAUCAAAAUGUGUGUCAAAGCUACCAACGUUUUUUCGAUUUGGAUAAUAAAAGUGUACUAUUGCUGUUAACAAUAAGAUAUAUAUCUGUUGUGUGUGGACUUUCCUUAUUCUGUGUCAGUGGAGUACCACGUUUUCACAAAAUGACUCAACGUGUUGUAAUGAGUACGUUUAAGUGUGUAUUUUGUUGUGAGUCGUGCUGUACUUUAUGGGUACAAUAAUGUGGCUGAUGAGAUAAGUUGAGAGGUCAAUAUUGGUGCUGAAAGAAGACGGGAUACCCUGUGUGGUCAAGUUUCAACUCCGGUCCCACACUUUUCAUGAUUUAGCCACUGUCAACUUAAUUCAGUUCGUGCAAUUCUGGAAAUAUUUUAUUAUCCUGUCGUCGUCGGUUUUUUUACCCUAAAAUGAUACGUCGACGUUCGUGAGGUUGCUGUUUCUUAAAG